rnacentral:rRNA from 1 species
UACGAAGGGUGCAAACGUUGCUCGGAAUUAUUGGGCGUAAAGCGCACGUAGGCGGCUUUGCAAGUCCCAUGUGAAAUCCCACGGCUCAACCGUGGAAGUGCAUGGGAAACUGCAGAGCUUGAGUACUUAAGAGGAUCGCGGAAUUCCCGGUGUAGAGGUGAAAUUCGUAGAUAUCGGGAGGAACACCAGUGGCGAAGGCGGGUCUCUGGGCCGAUACUGACGCUGAGGAGCGAAAGCGUGGGGAGCGAACAGG